rnacentral:tRNA from 1 species
GCCUGGGUGGCGCAGUGGGUUAAGCAGCUGCCUUCGGCUUGGGUCCUGAUCCCAGUAUCGUGGGAUCGAGUCCCACCUCGGGCU